rnacentral:rRNA from 1 species
UACGAAGGGGCUAGGCGUUGCUCGGAAUCACUGGGCGUAAAGCGCAACGUAGGCGGAUUGUUAAGUCAGGGGUGAAAGUCCUGGAGCUCAACUCCAGAACUGCCUUUGAUACUGGCGAUCUCGAGUCCGGGAGAGGUGAGUGGAACUGCGAGUGUAGAGGUGAAAUUCGUAGAUAUUCGCAAGAACGCCAGUGGCGAAGGCGGCAUCCUGGACCGGCAUUGACGCUGAUGAGCGAAAGCCAGGGGAAGCAA